ACGGAGGCCCCUAGCGUUGUUCGGAAUCACUGGGCUUAAAGAGCGUGUAGGCGGAGCGGCAAGUGCUUUGUGAAAUCCCCGGCCUCAAUCCGGGAAUUGCAGGGGAAACCGCCGCUCUUGAGGCAGGUAGAGGUGACCGGAACGUGUGGUGGAGCGGUGAAAUGCGUAGAUAUCACACGGAACGCCGGUGGUGAAAACGGGUCACUGGGCCUGUCCUGACGCUGAGACGCGAGAGCGUGGGGAGCAAACAG
rnacentral:rRNA from 1 species